GAGGAAUAUAGGCAGGAGGAGACAAGAGCUUGAUCUCUUUUCAGUCUGAGGAUUUCAUAGAGGUGGACAAUGAAUGCACUUACCUUCUGAGUCAGAAGAGAAAGAAUGGACACAGUAUUACGGAGAGCAUGUGUACGCUAGGCUCGGGAGGUACUUCUCUGUGGAAGAAAUAUUUUGAUGGUUCGGAAUUCCUGGUGUUGCCUUAACUGCCUCACGUUCAUGGGACUGGCUUCAGAUCUAAGAUGGAGUAAAGGCACUUUGGCUAAGCCUGAUAGCCUGAGUUCAAUCCCUGGGACCCACAUAGUGGGAGGAGAGAAUGACUCCUGUAAGCUGCCCUUUGGCUUUCACAUGUACACUGUGAGUGGUGAUAACCUGGCCUCUCCCUCUCCCUGGGUCCUGGGCAAGCUGGCCCUAUUCCUGUGCCCAACUCCUCUCCUCCCGCCCUGUGGUUUCUCCUCAGCACCUGCCUGUCACUCCUCACCAGCCCUCUCCUGGGCCUGGGCCUUCUCCUUAGGGAACUUUGCCUGGUUGUGGGACCUGCAAUCCUCAGGCUCUCUCCCCACCCAGGGAUGGCUCUUCUCUGUGCUAUCUUCCCCCACCCUGGGAUCUGUCUUUGACAGGUGAUAGCGCCUCACUGACAGCUGUCAAAGGUUGCAAGGCUGCAUUGUGCAUGCGUUAGGUGGCUGCAUAUGGAUUCUGCGUGCGGAAACCAACACAGCUGCAUUUGUUAGGUGGUUGCAUAAGGACUCUACAUGCAGACACCCUGUGGAACUGGGGCCGUGAGGAGCGGGGCCAACGGCAGCUCCCUGACUCCAGUUUCAACGGCCCCAACUGCUGAGACUCUAAGCCAGUCCUGUUCCCUAUAUAAGCAAGAGCCUCCUGCCUGUUCUCUUCUUUCCAUUUCUGCUCCCUUUCCCAAUAAACUCGAUGUGGGUUUGCUGA